AUGUAUUGUGCGGUGAAUUGCAUUGAAAAUCUUUAUAUUGCCAAUUACAUAAAGACAAGGAAACAAAUAGAAGAUGAAGAGAAUACUAAUGAAAGGGAAGAAAUUUCCCAAUAUCCUCCUAUUCUUUCUUAUGAUGAAUCAGGUAACGAGGAGGCUCUUUCUAUUCAACCAAUCUCAAUAAUAAGGAGCUCCAAAAAGAGGAUUAAACCCACAUAUAAUGUGGAGAAGAAAAAUAAAAGAUGGAGAAGCAAAGGUAAAAAGGUAUCCAUCCCAAAUGAUGUUGCUCCUAUUACUCAUUGUGAUGAUAAUAAUUGCUAUACUAUUGGUGCUACUCAUACUAUUAAUGAUGAGAGUGAUUAUGCUUAUGAUAUGCAAAGGCCCAAGCUUGGGGAUGCUAUGUUUGAUGAGAAUGACAUGUUUGAGAAUUUAUUUGCUGCAAUUAAUGUUUUGCCCAAGCUUGGGGAUGCUAUGUUUAAUGAAGAUGAUAUUUUUAGUCUCCUAAGUUUUGUUAUGCAAAUUUAUUAUGACGAUAGCAUGCCUCCUAUUUAUGAUGAUUAUUGUGAUGAUACUUAUGCUAUAAAAAGUAGUGAUGAUUAUAUUUAUAAAACUUGUCAUGAUUACGAUUGCCCUUUUUAUGAACAUUACUCUUUUAAUGUGGAAAAAAUGUAUAGUAUUCGAGUUUCUUAUGAUACUCCCACUAUUCCGAACGAGAAGAAAUUUGCUUAUGUGGAGAGUAAUAAAAAUUCUAUGCUUGUGGCUCAUGAAAAUAAUGCUUUAUGUGAUAGUUAUAUUGUUGAAUUCAUUUAUGAUGCUACUGAAAAUUAUUAUGAGGGAGGAAUAUAUGCUUGUAGGAAUUGCAAUAAUAUCAAGUUUCGUCUGUAUGUGUUGAAAAUCUUGAAGCUAUGCUUGUUUUGCUUUCCUAUGCUAGCUGAUUCUUGUUCCCAUAACUUGUUUGCUCACAAAAUCCCUAUGCAUAGGAAGUGGGUUAGACUUAAAUGUGAUAGUCAUAUUAUUCAUGAUGCUCUCUUUGUGUGUCUUAAUUCUUAUCUUUUAUGUGAGCAUCAUUGUCAUCAUCAUGCCUAG
rnacentral:rRNA from 1 species